rnacentral:ncRNA from 1 species
UUACCGGUUUUUUUAAAACAUUGGUCUAUAGUGAUAGCCCACAUGAAAACCAUCAACAUUAUUAAAAAAAUUAAUU